rnacentral:rRNA from 1 species
ACGGGUGAGUAACACGUGGGAACGUGCCCUUUGGUUCGGAACAACUCAGGGAAACUUGAGCUAAUACCGGAUAAGCCUUUCGAGGGAAAGAUUUAUCGCCAUUGGAGCGGCCCGCGUAGGAUUAGCUAGUUGGUGGGGUAAAGGCCCACCAAGGCUACGAUCCUUAGCUGGUCUGAGAGGAUGAUCAGCCACAUUGGGACUGAGACACGGCCCAAACUCCUACGGGAGGCAGCAGUGGGGAAUCUUGCGCAAUGGGCGAAAGCCUGACGCAGCCAUGCCGCGUGAAUGAUGAAGGUCUUAGGAUUGUAAAAUUCUUUCACCGGGGACGAUAAUGACGGUACCCGGAGAAGAAGCCCCGGCUAACUUCGUGCCAGCAGCCGCGGUAAUACGAAGGGGGCUAGCGUUGCUCGGAAUUACUGGGCGUAAAGGGAGCGUAGGCGGAUAGUUUAGUCAGAGGUGAAAGCCCAGGGCUCAACCUUGGAAUUGCCUUUGAUACUGGCUAUCUUGAGUACGGAAGAGGUAUGUGGAACUCCGAGUGUAGAGGUGAAAUUCGUAGA